CUAAAAAGUCUCUCUCUCUCUCUCUCUCUCUCUCUCUCUCUCUCUCUCUCUCUCAUCCUUCUUUCACAUUGUCUCUUCUUCCUCUCCUCAAUUUCAACACUUUGAAAACUCAGUAAACUUGGUUGAAAGUGUGAACUGGAUAGAGACCUCGUCGAGAGAGACAUACCGUUCGCAUGUAGCGUAAGUUAAAUGUGUUUGAAGCAUACUAAGGUUGUUAGGAAUCGUGAUAAUUAGGGUAUCCAGGUGUCGUGAAGACUUGCAAGAUGUGAAUGUCUUUGGAAAUCGAAAUCAUCAAGACUCAAUGUCAUAAUGAGUCAUUUGUACUAAGUCAUCCUUGACUUGGAAUUCAAGAUCAGCUUAGGGGUUGUUGUUGAAGUCAUUGUGUACUCUUCCUUACUGUUUUCUCUGUAACUUGUAUUAUGGUAAACCUUGUUUAUUUAUUUGUUAAAAUAAAGAUUGUCAUUAUAUUCUUUUAGACAGUAUGUUUGAUUUGUGUUCUUAAACCUUUAUUUGAGAAAAUAAUUUAUAAAAGAUGUAUUGUAUUAUGAUCAUUGUCUUACUAAACUUUACUCUGAUUUAUUUUAAAGAUGAGCAUAGAUGUUUUAUUCCAAAGAUAUUUUUUGUUUUAAAAGAAAAAAUACACUCUCGUUGUUAAAAAUUGGGGUGUUACAAUAUGCAAUUAUGAAAAAGGUAAAAAUGGAUUGGAUAAUUUGCUAAAUAGUCAAAAAUAUGUUAAUAAUAAAAGUGGAUUACUAUAUUCUAAAUUUGAAAAUUCUAGUCAAAUUUAAAAGACUAUCUCUAUUAAAUCUAGCAGUGAUGAUAACUAUAUUCAUAGAAAAUUAUAGCAUAAUGUGUAUUCUAAAAAGACAUAUAACAAGAAAUAUUUAUAUUAUAAUAAAAAAAUGCCUAACAUGACAUAUACUUGUUUUUAUUGCAAUUAUAAACAUCAUAAUUCUAAUGCAUAUUAUAUUAGAAAUAUUGGUGUACUUGGUGGCAGUUAUGUAUGGGUUGAGAAAAGAACUAACUUAAAAGGAUCCAAAGAAAAUUGGGAACCUAGAAAUAACUAUUAAUUCUCUU